UUCCUGGCUGCCAUGGAAGCAGGGCAUUGACUCAGCCAGCCAUCAUGUCCCUUGGUGCCUUGUGCUUUGGGGAGGCAUAUCCAACAGGAGAGACUCCCACUUACCCUCCAGCCAUGUGGGAGCUGGCAGGAGCCUGGCAGGCAGGAGCCCCAUCUGCAGCUGCUGUGCCGAACAUGAUCUUCACUAGAACAAAUUAACAUAAUUGCACAUAAUAUGUGGCCACUGAGCCAAUGAGUGUAUUCUUUCCCAUCCCUACCAAAAAGAGGAUCAGAACAGUCGAUUCAUUCGGAACAGACAACGUAUACGUUUACAGUCUUGCCCCAAGGCUAUGUUAAUGCUCCUGCUCCUGGCAUAAUACAAUCCCUAGAGACCUGGACUGGCUGGGUAAUGAUGACAUCAUGCUCACUGGACCAGCUAAGCAAGCAGUGACUAGUGCAUUAGAGACCUCCGUAACACACGAUCCCAGAGAACAGGAGGAAGACACCGACGAUUCAGAGGUCUGCACUGUCAGCAACAUUUUUAGGAGUCUGGUGAUCUGGGGAAUGCUGAGACAUCCCCCCCACAGUAAAGGAUAUGUUACUGGCUCUUGCACUUCCCAUCACAGAGAAGGAAGUCCAACACCUGGCAAGCCUCUGAGAUCUACAGGUCUUCAACUGGCACCGGCAUCCAAGGGCUCCGUGUUCAGUCUACCAGCACAGAGGCCUGCAGACCAAGGGAUCCAUAUUACAGUGAAAGAGGUGCCAGAGGAGGUACGUGACCAUGACACCUGUACCAGACCACCCCGUCAGGGGGAGAGCUGAUGAGGCCCGGCUGAAGCAUCACCGUGGAGGCGGUUGUGAGGAUGGCAACAGACCUUUUCUACCUGGUACUCAAGAGCUGGGAGUCAGAAAGACUCUGCUCACCACCACUCCCCGUGACCCACUUGGGGGGUCUGUGCCGCCUGUCUGUGUAGCUGAGAAGGCCUGGUUUCAAAAGAAGUGUUUCCACCAAGGGACCCAAAGAAAGUCCUUCUUCACUCUGAGCUCGGGCUGCUGUUUGGCAGGCCCAGGCGCUGUGUGCCAAACGCACAGCAGACAUCACGUCAGCACUGGAAACGCACGUGUGUCAGCAAGAGGAGGCAGGAUGCUCUGACACAUUGGGGGCAAGAGUGAACACGUCCGGCACACAGGCGACCCAUCUGGGCAAGCCCUGGCUUUCCCUCGCCCAAUGUUGACAGCUAAUGGACAAGAAUAGCAGCUAUGGCUGAGAAGGGCACCGUGACAAGGGAGACGAUCUCCCUGAGAUAAAGGCCUGGGUCUCCCUGCCAGGUAAGCCACCUGGAGCAGCAGACGUGCCACUUGUGGGUAAGGAGAAUCUAGGCUGGAUAGAAGGCCACUUCUAGUUCCAAGACAGUCGGCAAUGUCAAGAACUGGAGCUGCUCCCCAGAACCUUCUUCCUAGAAGUUUCUCCAGCAGAAGCCCCUGGGAUUCUGGACGACCUGCUCUCCAAACUUCAAUGAUGGAACAGCUCUGAGCACAUGGAGAUAGAUUAUAACAGACACUGUGAUCGCCAUCGGGAUGGAUGGCCUUAUUCCCCCAAAUAUUUGUGGGGCCACCGGUACACAGCUAGUGGGUGGAAUCAGGGAUGGCAUGGCCUGGCCCCUCAUCCUAGCUCAGGACAGCUCUGAAAGGCCUGCCAGCUUCAGAGCCCCCUUCGGGUUGCCGAUGGCUUCGUGGGUCUGUCUCCUUCCCACCGUGGGAUACAGCCCCAGACACUCCGCAAUAAGUGGCCUGCAUGCUGACUCCAGCUCCGGACCGGCCUCCAGGACCCCGCCUGUGAUGGGGCGUCUGAGCAGAUCCAAAGGGAGCAAAGGGACAGCUAGUCCAAGAGCCCUAGGGCAGGGCCAGGACGUCCGUGUGGUCAGAGCCGCAGAAGCCAGAGUGGCUGUAGCGGAGGGAGCGAAUGGGCAGAGCAGGAACAGGAAACCAGGCGGAUACGCAGGACCCCAGAGGUCACCACUGGGAUUCGGCUCUGCACUCAGAGUGGCACCACUCCAUGCGUUUUGACAGGAAAAGUAACACAGUCUAAAAGAACCGUUGAGGCUGCUGUCUUUGGGGUGAGGCUGGUCCCCAGGAGACUGGCCGAGAGGGUCCUUCAGAGACCCAGGGGAGGCAGGACGGUGGCUCAGACCAGUGUGGCAGUGUGGAGUCAACAGGUGUCUGGGGCAUCAGAUACAGGGUACACCAGAAAGAAAAAUAAUCAAACCAACAGAAAUUCCUGCCACUGUGCUCUCAGAUAAUUGUUAUUUACAUUUUCUUGAUUUUGGUUUCCAGAUAGCAUUAUUAAAAAGUUCACAUAAUGUGUUUACACAAAUCUAUUAUUUUAAAUAAAUCUUGAACAUCUUU